UACGGGGGGGGCAAGCGUUGUUCGGAAUUACUGGGCGUAAAGGGCUCGUAGGUGGCCAACUAAGUCCGACGUGAAAUCCCAAGGCUUAACCUUGGAACUGCGUCGGAUACUGGAUGGCUUGAAUUCGGGAGAGGGAUGCAGAAUUCCAGGUGUAGCGGUGAAAUGCGUAGAUAUCUGGAGGAAUACCGGUGGCGAAGGCGGCAUCCUGGACCGACAUUGACGCUGAUGAGCGAAAGCCAGGGGAGCAAACGGG
rnacentral:rRNA from 1 species